rnacentral:lncRNA from 1 species
GUCGACCAUGAAGAACCUUCUUCAAGUACUCAUGUUCCGACUGCAACUUCGACUCCAACUUCAACUCCUCAAAUUCCAACUCCAAUUUCGAAUCCAACUCCAACUCCAACUCAAAUUCCAACUCCAACUCCUCAAGGUUCGAGUACUCCAACUCCAAAUCAAAUUCCAACUCCAACUCCUCAAGGUUCGAGUACUCCAACUACUCAAGUACCAACAACAAUGGGUGAAUCUAAUUCCGACUCCGACUCGGACCUCGG